AUUGAACGCUGGCGGCAUGCCUUACACAUGCAAGUCGAACGGUAGCGGGCCUUCGGGUGCCGACGAGUGGCGAACGGGUGAGUAAUGUAUCGGAACGUACCUUUCAGUGGGGGAUAACGUAGCGAAAGUUACGCUAAUACCGCAUAUUCUGUGCGCAGGAAAGCAGGGAAUCGCAAGACCUUGUGCUGAUUGAGCGGCCGAUAUCAGAUUAGCUAGUGGGUGAGGUAAAGGCUCACCAAGGCGACGAUCUGUAGCGGGUCUGAGAGGAUGAUCCGCCACACUGGAACUGAGACACGGUCCAGACUCCUACGGGAGGCAGCAGUGGGGAAUUUUGGACAAUGGGGGCAACCCUGAUCCAGCCAUGCCGCGUGAGUGAAGAAGGCCUUCGGGUUGUAAAGCUCUUUCGGCCGGGAAGAAAUCGUAUCAGCUAAUACCUGGUGCGGAUGACGGUACCGGCAUAAGAAGCACCGGCUAACUACGUGCCAGCCGCCGCCGUAAGAC
rnacentral:rRNA from 1 species